rnacentral:rRNA from 1 species
GACGAACGCUGGCGGCGUGCCUAAUACAUGCAAGUUGAGCGCUGAAGGUUGGUUCUUGUACCAACUGGAUGAGCAGCGAACGGGUGAGUAACGCGUGGGGAAUCUGCCUUUGAGCGGGGGACAACAUUUGGAAACGAAUGCUAAUACCGCAUAAAAACUUUAAACACAAGUUUUAAGUUUGAAAGAUGCAAUUGCAUCACUCAAAGAUGAUCCCGCGUUGUAUUAGCUAGUUGGUGAGGUAAAGGCUCACCAAGGCGAUGAUACAUAGCCGACCUGAGAGGGGGAUCGGCCACAUUGGGAAUGAGACACGGCCCAAACUCAUACGGGAGGUAGCAGUAGGGAAUCUUCGGCCAUGGACGAGAGUCUGACCGAGCAACGCCGCGUGAGGGAAGAAGGUUUUCGGUUCGUAAAACUCUGUUGGUAGAGAAGAACGUUGGUGAGAGUGGAAAGCUCAUCAAGUGACGGUAACUACGCAGAAAGGGACGGCUAACUACGUG